UACCAGGUUCUGAUAUGUUCUGUUAAUACACAAUAGUAUGCAUUCAACCUGUGUUCAUAUUAAGGAAAAGCAAGGUGGCUUUUCUCCCUUCUAUUUAAUAAAACAAAGCGAGCCAAUCAAUCCUUUAUAGCUGUAUUUUGAAAACUCUUAUUGUAAGCCUAGUAAUUACAAAGUUCUAAGAUGCUGAAGUCUCUGUAUUUGCUACUCAGAGUUUUUUGGUGCUCAAACUAGCAGCAGUAACAAGCUCCUGGGAGCUUAUUACGAAGCAGAAUCUCAGGGUCCCAGCCAAGACCUCCUCAACCAGUUUUCUUUCUUUCUUUUUUGCUAUUUUAGGGCCAGACCUGUGGCAUGUGGAGGUUUCCCAGUCUAAGGGUAGAAUCGGAGCUGUAGCUGCCAGCCUACACCACAGCCACGGCAACACAGGAUCUGAGCCACAUCUGUGACCUAACCACACAGCUCAUGGCAACUUAACCCACUGAGCGAGGCCAAGGAUCGAACCUGCAGCCUCGUGGAUUCUAAUGGGGUUCUUUAACUGCUGAGCCAUGAAGGGAAUUCCAGAGUCGGCAUUUCUUAGACGCACAGGUGAUUCUGAGGUACAUGAAGGUUUGAGAAGCCACUGCCGUGUCUCAUUUUCACACGUCAGCCUCCCGUUGCAGAGUGACUGGGGAGGUCCAUAAGGAAUGAAGUGAGGGAGAGAGGGUCCUGAAGUAGACUCUGCUCCUCGCGUUAUUCUGAGGUCUCUGUUUUGUUGCUAAAGUUAAGCAUACUAAUCUUUCCUUAAUUUGCAACCGUAGAUUAAGGUACUAUGUAUACUGUUUGUGAUUCGAUUUUUUUUUUUCUUUUUCUUUUUUCUUUUUAGGGCUACACCCACAGCAUGUAGAAGUUCCCAGGCUAGGGGUCAAACUGGAGCUACAGCUGCAGGCCUACACCACAGCCACAGCACUGCGGGAUCUGAGCCGAAUCUGCGACCUACACCACAGCUCAUGGCAACGUCAGAUCCCCAACCCACUGAACAAGGCCAGGGAUUGAACCCGCAUCCUCAUGGAUACCAGUGGAAUUCGUUUCUGCUGUGCCACAGCAGGAACUCCCAUGAUUUGAUUUUUGAAUCAGAAUCUUCCUCCUUUUCUUCUUCCCUCUCUUUGGAUUUUUCUUAAACCUUUGGCACUUGCUGUGUGAUGCUUCAUUGUGGGACUUUGCUGAGCUAAUAGAAUAAGAAAAGGUUAGUAGGAAAAUGUAGAAACAGCCAAUCAGAUUUAGAUUGGUAACUUCUGGUUUGAUGGAUGUAUAUGUUUAUGGUUGUGGUUUUUUAUAUUAUGCUUUGCAAUGUGUCUGUACAUUUCUGAGCAAUUUAGACUUUAUGUGUUUGUGCUAAUCUCAGUGUGAUGGAACUAAAUAGUUAAUGUGAUUCUGAUUCAAAAAAUAUUUUAAUUCUUUAAAAGUUGUUGAACUUCUCUUGGAGGAAAGAAAGAAGUUGUUUUGUUUUAUGCCAGUGGAGGAGUACAGGGCAGAAAUUACUGAAAGGCCUAUGAUGAGUGAAGCUGUAAACUAGUGCAAAUACUUUGAAUUUAACUACGAAUUUUUGGAAAAUUUUAAGAAAAGGAAAUUAGAAAAUAGGUCAUGGGACUAUGUAUUUUUUUGUUGUUAAAAUGCUUAAAAAUGAUUCUAAUCACUAAAAGUUUUACAUUCCAUAAAACAGGUAAGAUAAAUGUGUAGUCCACAUCAUUUAAAAAAUAAUUCUAGUGGGAUACUUUGAGUGUGUUGUGGCAGGCUUCGAGGAUGCGUGAAAUGGGAAACAUAGGCAAAUACAUAACAAAGCUCUACCUUCUUAAAAGUGAGACAAAUAAGCCUAUGAAAUAGGAGUCAGUUCUAUCAUUGAGAGAGACAAGAGGGCUGAAGAAAGAAGGGGGAGGCCAAUCCAGUAGAAAAGAUCCAGAGAAGAAUGGUUUAGGGGGAAAAGGGGUUUUUAAUAUGGAGAAGUGAAAUGUCAGGAUUUAACACUGAAAUGAGAAUCCUUUGGCAGUGUCUUAGUGAAAACUUUAAGAUUAUUAGCCCAUUUUGUUACUUAAACCUGGAGUAAUUUUAACUCUAGAAAUCUUUGUUUUCAAGGAAACGUCUGAAAUAAAAUAAUAUCUAUGAUAUGUUUUAGCUACAAAGCAGGAUAAAAAUUGGAAAAAUGACAGGAAGGAAUUUUGAUGGUGGUUGUGUAUAUGUGAUGGGCUUUUAAAAAUACAUCCUGUAUCUAAUAAAUAGGCUGUAUAGUGAGUAUAUAUUACCUGAAAAAGUAGAGGAAAAAUCCUCAUUCUAAUUAAAAGACAAACAGAACCAAAGGUUGAAAUGGACAGAUAUUUGGUUGCCUUUAUUUCGUGGUGGGUAUUAUCAUGAAUGUUUUAAAUCUGAGGUGCUCAAGGCAUUUUUGUAAAUUCCUUAGCAAUGUAGUAUCAGGGUUAAGAUGUGCUGGGGUUGGGGUUAGUUAUAUUAUAGGGCAGAGAGAGGAGGAAGGAAGUUCUAGGAGAGAGCAGCAAAACCUUCCUAACUUAGAAUUCACAGAGUUUGCAGGUUUCCCCACCAUGUACUUGAGGCAUUUAUAAUUUGUGGAGAUGAGAAUCAGUACCUCUGGCAACAACUGGCCAACUUAGCCAUCAGUGGUCUCUAAAAUGCCAUAAUAGGACGCCCAGGUAGCUCACUUUUAACUCCAAGGAUGUCCCUUGCAACUUUGAAAAGAUGAGGCAAAAAUCCUCCUGGGGGUGCACCUAGAGCAUAGGCAGUCCCCAGUGAUGUCAGCAGGGAGCUCUGGAGAGAGUGAGGCUCCCCAGCUUUCCAGCAGCCCAGGGAGGUGAGGGCUGUGGUGUCUGGCAGUUUCUGUGGUCACCUGGACAUAAUAUAUUAACUCUGAAAGAUAUGUUCCCCUGUAUUUGGAAACUUGUAUUUCUAUAUGUUCUGAUUUUUCUUAAAGACAAUGUAACAUUUAGUAAGAAGCAGUAGCUAUAAUUAAAAAAAAAAUAAUUCCCUCAGAAUGCGCUGUAGCAGCUCCUCAAAGUAGGUUUUUAAAGUGAUUUGAAGGAGGUGGCUUUUAAGGUUUCUUCCUUUUCAUUUACCUCUAAUAAAUAUCCACGUGAGCACAGGCAUUAUACUUGCUCCGAUUUGGCGCUCACCUGUGCUGCAGUGAGAGACCAGCACCAUUAAUCCAGGGUGAGCCUGUGUCCUCAAAGUACUGGGUGUCUUUAAUGGAUAGAAUGCAAAUUUUAUGUAAAAACAAAGUCAGUCCCACCAGCUUUCAACUUGUCAUUUGGCUGAAGGUGACUUGAUUUCACUGGGAAAGAAGGAAAGUUGGAAUGGCAUCAAGUCCCGACAGGGUAGCUUUGGGUGAAAGCUGAGUGGUUGCUCCUGGAAGCAAGUGCUGCUGCUUCAUGAAGAGCAGACUUUGCUAAGGAGGCUGCUUCUGAACCUCUUGGUGCUCGAUAGGAAAGGGAAAUCGUGGAAUUCACAUGAGGACUGUACCCGCUGGUGCUGUUAUUUUGCCUGGUGUGCUUACAGUGUCAUGUCAUGGGGCCAGGGUGUCAGGCCAGAAGAGGGCCCUUGAAGGACGGAGGUGUCCCAUGUACAGGGUGCAGGGACUGCGCCUCACACCCCUGCCUCCCCCCAGGAAAGUGCCAUGAUGGCUGGACAGAGGCCCGUUUCCUGUCAUGACUACAUCUUCUGUAUUGGCUUCACUUCCCUCUCAGUUCGUGAAAUAUUUUGGAUUCCCCUCUGAGUCUGCUGGAGGGCAUAUUCCUUUCUGUAAACCAAUGAUUUGAAUUGUGGAGUUGUCAGCCAAGGUAAAAUUUUGGGAGACACAAUUCAGCCCAGUAGGCAAGAAGGUCAAAUAGAAUUGGGAGGUUUCAAGCAGCACACUGUGCUGUUUCUCUCACGUUCUCUGCUCUUCCUUGCUUUUCAAGAAUCUAAUACAUUAGGAAAAAUGUCAAACUGGGAGACACAGAUCUGAUUGGGAUUCUGAAUAUAAAGACCAGACAGAAGUCAACUUAUGUGGAAUUUUGAUGUAAGCAUGUUUUUAUAGUAUCACCUAGGUCCUUUCCUCAAUUCAGCUGCUACCAUGCAGAGGUAUAGGAUCUGGGUCUGGUGCUAUGUACAGAUGGGGUGCCUUAGUGCAUUGCUGGACCUUGUUUGUUUGCUGGCUUCUUUGAGGUCCCAGAUAGGAGAUUUAACAGAAGAUCCAAGGCCUCUGUCAUUCCUUCCCCCCCAGCAGAUCUUGCUAGUGCCUGCAGAGUUAUUUGCACAGCUAUUGCCGGGACCGUGUCUAAUUUCACUUUACACAUAGAUGUUGGUGCCUAAUUACCUUGAACUCUCAUUUCAAGUGGAUGAUUUCAUAUAACACCACCAUUUCUGAGACUGUUUCAAAAGCAAAAGUUAGAGAGCUCUUGGUAAAGUAGUAUUAAAUUGUCUUCAUAUUUAUUUACGUAUAAAAAUAUAAUUGACAUACAUUGUAUUAACGUCAGGUGUACAGCAUUUUUGAUAUUUGUAUGUAUUGCAAAAAUGAUCACCGCAAUAGGUCUAGUUAACAUCUAUCCCCAUACAUAGUUGUAGAAUUUUUUUCUUGUGAUAAUUUUUAAGAUUUACUUAGUAUAAACUAUAGUCACUCUGCUUAUUUUAAAACUGGAAGUUUGUACCCUAUUGAUUCUCUUUACCCAUUUCACCCACCCCAUACCUCUGGCAACUACAAUCUUUUUUUUUCUGAAUCUACAAACUUGCUUGUUUGAUUUUUAGAUUCUACAUACCAGUGAGAUCAAUAAUAUUUUUCUCUGUCUGACUUAUUUCACUUAGCAUAAUGCCCUCAAGGUCCAUCCUGUCACAAAAGGCAAGAUUUCAUCCUUUUAAAUGGUUGAAUAAUAUUCCAUUGUGUGUGUAUAACAUGUAUAUAAUGUGUAUACAUAUAAUGUGUAUAUAUAUACACACACAAACACCCAUCUCACAUUUUCUUCAUCCAUUCAUCUAUGAACAUAUAGCUUAUUUUCAUGUCUUCAGCUUUUGUUAAUAAUGCUGUAUUUAACAUGUGGGUGUGGGUAUCUCUUCUAUAAGACAGUGAUUUCAUUUCCUUUGGAUAUGAGUAUUUACCCAGAGUGGAGUUGCUGAAUCUGAGAGCAGUUCUAUUUUUAACUUUUUUUGGCAGCAGGGGGUGGGGGGAAGCAUGCCCACAGAAUGCUCUGACGCUCUUGGGCCAGUUGCAGCAUCUCAACAAUGACCCGAGCCACAGCAUUGACAAUGCUGGAACCUUAGCCCAUUGUGCCACAAAGGAAAUCCCUAUUUUUAAUUUUUGAGGGGCCUCCAUUCUGUCUCUCACAGUGGCUGCACCAAUUUACAUUCUAACUAACUGUGCCUGAAGGUUUCCUUUUUUUCAGAUCUUCACCAACGCUUGUCACUCUUUCUCUCUCUUUGAUAAUAGUUACUCUAAUAGAUGUGAGGUCAUAUCUCAUUAUGGUUUGUGUUUUCACAUUUUUUUUUGUCUUUUGUCAUGUUUUAGGGCCUUACCCACGGCAUAUGGAGGUUCCCAGGCUACGGGUCUAAUCAGAGCUGCAGCUGCCAGCCUACACCACAGCCACAACAACAGCAGAUCUGAGCCACAUCUGUGACCUAUACUAUAGCCCACGGCAAUGCAGGAUCCCUAACCCACUGAUCAAGGCCAGGGAUCAAACCCACAUCCUCAUGGAUGCUAGUCAGGCGCGUUAACCACUGAACCAUGGUGGGAACUCCUGUUUUCACAUUUUUAAUUAAGUUUUUGAAGUAUAACAUACUGUAGAAAGUACACGCAAAAGAGUAUAGUUCAAUGAAUUUUCACAUGUGAAACAUACAUGUGUAACCAGCACCCACAUGAAGAAAGAGAACCUUACCAGCCCCCAGAGACAUUCCCUGCCCACUGGGCCCCUUUGUAGUUACUACUCUCUUCAAAAGUAACCUUAUUCUGAAUUCUAAAUUGGCAUUGAUUAUUUUUGCCUCAUUUGAAUUUUAUUCUUAUUUAUAUUUUAAAAUAUAUAUUUUAAAUUGGUAUUUUUAAAUGAAUAAAUUAUACAAAUUAUAUAUAGUCAUAGUAUGUACUUUUUGGAGUCUAGCUUUUGUUCAGAGUUCCCGUCGUGGCGCAGUGGUUAACGAAUCCGACUAGGAACCAUGAGGUGGCGGGUUCGAUCCCUGGCCGUGUUCAGUAGGUUAAGGAUCCGGCAUUGACGUGAGCUGUGGUGUGGGUCGCAGACGCGGAUCGGAUCCCGCGUUGCUGUGGCUGUGGUGUAGGCCGGUGGCUACAGCUCCGAUUCAACUCCAAGCCUGGGAACCUCCAUGUGCCGCGGGAGCGGCUCAAGAAAAGGCAAAAAGACAAAAAAAAAAAAAAAAAA
rnacentral:lncRNA from 1 species